rnacentral:rRNA from 1 species
AUGUCUGGCGUGUGGGUGUUCAAGAACGGGGUGGUGCGCCUGGUGGAGAACCCGGGGAGCGAGCGGACGUCGACGGUGCGGCGGAAGGCGCUGCUGCACACGCCGAGCGGGCAGGUGGUGUCGUCCUACGCGACGCUGGAGGCGAAGCUGACGGCGCUGGGGUGGGAGCGCUACUACGAGGACCCGGCGCUGUAUCAGUUCCACAAGCGCGGCUGCCUCGACCUCAUCUCCCUCCCCAGGGACUUCAACCACUUCUCCUCCGUCCACAUGUACGACGUCGUCAUCAAGAACAGGGAGUCCUUCCGCGUCGUCGACGCCUAG